AAUAUACUCCCUCCGUUCCAAAUUACUCGUUGUUGAAAUGGAUGUAUCUAGAACUAAAAUACAUCUAGAUACAUCCAUAAAUGCGAUAAGUAAUUCGGAACGGAGGGAGUUGGUC
rfam:Triticum aestivum genome assembly, contig: Triticum_aestivum_CS42_TGACv1_scaffold_501168_6BL